CAAGAGUCAGGUUAAGAAGUGGUUACUGAAACUGAAAAGUGUACAUUGAAAGUUAUAGCUGGGUGGGAUAUAGAUGUAACGGCUAUAUUGACUUAAAGGGACACAACUCUUGACACUAGCUGCAGAGAGUAGCUGAGGUCUGUUGUUCACAUGUUAACGAAAGCUACAGUGAUGCUGGAGACACCUGAAACCAACUGCACAAGGACCUCUGAUGUCGUUAACUACUUUCUGUCUCUAUAGUCCCUUCGUCUACAAUUCUACAUCGACUGAAGCCUGAUGCUCUUCUGUUGCGUUCCUGUGGAUUGUUCUGGGUCGUUCAAUGCCUGCGCCAUGUUGUUCCCACCUGUCGUCUUCUACCGCCACUAACGGUCUAUGCAGCCUAUUGCUCGUCUGAGCCAUCUGUUCCAUGAAAGGCAUCCUCAUUUGGGAGGGAAAUGCUAAUGAUGACUCAGUAUGGCUCCCAGAGGUCAAGAAAGAUGCCCAGGUAGAAGAAAACAGAUGAUGCGUUGGCUGCCUAGAGGUUCCAGACCACCGAGGAUAGCCUGAUGACGAAUAUCAUCGACUGUCGUGUUUCCCAUUAACUGUUGAGGGUGCUCGUGGUUUUAUUUUAUCUUUUUCAAAGCCUGCGAACGCACUACCCAUAUUAUCUUUCGAGACGACGACUGGCAUGCCACACCACAGACCCAUAAAAUGUCCUGAGAUACC